rnacentral:rRNA from 1 species
AAUCUUCCACAAUGGGCGGAAGCCUGAUGCAGCCCCGCCGCGUGGGGGAAGAAGGUUUUCGGGUCGUAAAACUCUGUUGUACGGGAAGAACAAUUACAGUAGUAACUGGCUGUACCUUGACGGUACCUGAUUAGAAAGCCACGGCUACCUACGUGCCAGCAGCCGCGGUAAUACGUAGGUGGCAAGCGUUGUCCGGAAUUAUUUGGCGUAAAAGGCGCGCAGGAGGUCCUUUAAAGUUGAUGUGAAAGCCCACGGCUCAACCGUGGAGGGUCAUUGGAAACUGGGGCACUUGAGUGCAGAAGAGGUAAGUGGAAUUCCAAGUGUAGCGGUGAAAUGCGUAGAGAUUUGGAGGAACACCAGUGGCGAAGGCGACUUUCUGGUGUGUAACUGACGCUGAGGCGCGAAAGCGUGGGGAGCAAACA